UUUUAAAGUAAUAAGUGAUGUUAAAAGUUUACUUAAGGUUGAUAUAGAGGUGAGUGGAGGAAGUAGUGUGUUAGGUGAGAGAGUGAGAAUCAAGGGGUUGGGAGGAGCUCCAGAUGUUGCCUUCACUGUUUUAGUGAUCAGAUCAUAACAAACUUGUUGAUAUAUAAGCCAGCUUCAUCUACCUGCUGUUAUCAGGUGUGUCUCACCAGCCACUCAGAGUCACCAACCAAUCACCAAGCGCCUACAAUGAUGAAGAAGGAAUCACCAACCACCAGCAUCACCGGACUUGUUAACAUUUUUCUCCUGCUGCUCAUUACCAUAGGACACGUCACCUCGUCCCCAGUACCCCAGGAUGAGAACACACGCUCAGGACGUCUUAUAUUACCUGUGACAAUACCACUCACUAAUAAUGUCUUACCUGCACCAGUCCAGCCGCCGUUCAAUCUGUUUAAUCCGACUCUCAAUAUCGUGACUGCUGCAGGGACUUUUACUCCUUGUCUACCGAAUAUCCUUUGCCCCGUUUAAGACUGAGGAGGGAAGGAGACGUGUGUGUGUGUGUGUUGAGUCAGUUGUUGAGUCAGUUGUUGAGUCAGUUAUUGAGUCAGUUGUUAAGUCAGUUAUUGAGUCAAUUGGUGGGUUGUGUAACUUAAAAAUGAAAUAAAAAUUAAAAUCGA